ACGGAAGGUCCGGGCGUUAUCCGGAUUUAUUGGGUUUAAAGGGAGCGUAGGCCGGAGAUUAAGCGUGUUGUGAAAUGUAGACGCUCAACGUCUGCACUGCAGCGCGAACUGGUUUUCUUGAGUACGCACAAAGUGGGCGGAAUUCGUGGUGUAGCGGUGAAAUGCUUAGAUAUCACGAAGAACUCCGAUUGCGAAGGCAGCUCACUGGAGCGCAACUGACGCUGAAGCUCGAAAGUGCGGGUAUCGAACAG
rnacentral:rRNA from 1 species